rnacentral:lncRNA from 1 species
CUUACUUGUACACAGACCAUCAAACAUGGUGGCCAAUCUAAUUGUACUGACUGAGGUACCAGUGUGCUUACUUGUACACAGACCAUCAAACAUGGUGGCCAAUCUGAUUGUACUGACUGAGGUACCAGUGUGCUUACUGGUACACAGACCAUCAAACAUGGUGGCCAAUAUGAUUGUACUGACUGAGGUACCAGUGUACUGGUAUAUUUGUUUUGGUUUCAGAAUUAUUCUUUCCAUAACUUUUCUGAUCAUUUGUGGCAGAGCUGUAGUGUGGCGAAGUUAAGAUAGGUUUUAUGAAAACAGGAAUCUGUUUUACGUGUAUAUCUUGGGUUUGUGUGUGUUUUUGGUUCUGUUUUGACCAACUACUUAAUGAUGCUGUGAAUGUCUGCAAGCGAGUCGGCAACGAAUGAGGGCUGUGUCUGAGUAGCUUCAGUAUUAUUUAUUUCUGUACAUACAUAGAUAGAUUUUAACCUUCUCAUGGAUAUAUACAAGAAUAUGCUCCAUUUGUACAAUACUUUGGACAGAAUUUAAUAUAUAUGGGAAAUACAUAUGUGAAUGUCUUGUUAACUGGACAGGUGAAAAUCUUCACACCUGGACAUGUGAAUGUCUUCACACCUGGGCCUGUGAAUGUCUUCACACCUGGACAUGUGGAUGUCUUCACACCUGGGCCUGUGAAUGUUGUGACACCUGGAAAUGUGAAUGUCUUAAUUGCUGGACAUGUGAAUGUCUUCACACCUGGACAUGUGAAUGUCUUCACACCUGGGCCUGUGAAUGUCUUCACACCUGGACAUGUGAAUGUCUUCACACCUGGACAGGUGAAUGUCUUCACACCUGGACAGGUGGAUGUCUUCACACCUGGGCAUGUCAAUAUCUUAACACCUAUUAAUGGUGUAUUGUAUUGUUGAUGCAUAUUGCUUUUAGUCAGUUAAUGUUCCAUCAUUCAUUAUUUCAACGAUUUAAGUUACAAUUUGUUAUCCUGAACAAUUUACCUGCUUCGUUUUGUCAUGUUUAGUUCUUGGGUAUUGUACUCUACUGAAGUACUCUGCUGUAGAAUCUUUUUCAUCGACAUGCCAGCAUGCAUUUCAUUAACUGUAACCAUAGUAACAUGCAUUCUAAAUGCAACAUUAUUUCUUAUCAAGUUAUAUAUCUUAAGGAAAAGAGCACAACCAAGAUUUGCAGGUGAACAUAUUUGAAAUGUGUUUAUUGCUGCAGUUUGAAUUCUACACCUAGAAUGAGUUCCUGUCCAGGCUCCAGUUCACAAAACUAUCAUAGUGCUAUGACUGUCGUAAGUCUAUGUUACAGUAUAGGAGAUUUGACAGUUGUAUCACUACGAUAGCUUUGUGAAACGGGGACCUGGUUCCUUCUGGAACCUGGGUACUCCCAACAGGGUUAGGACAGGUUCACUUUCAUGCUUCACUGUCUAGAUCUGUACUCCAAACAGGGUUAGGACAGGUUCACUUUCAUGCUUCACUGUCUAGAUCUGUACUCCCAACAGGGUUAGGACAGGUUCACUGACUUGCUUCACUGUCUAGAUCUGUACUCCCAACAGGGUUAGGACAGGUUCACUGACAUGCUUCACUGUCUAGAUCUGUACUCCCAACAGGGUUAGGACAGGUUCACCUUCAUGCUUCACUGUCUAGAUCUGUACUCCCAACAGGGUUAGGACACGUUCACUGUCAUGCUUCACUGUCUAGAUCUGUACUCCCAACAGGGUUAGGACAGGUUCACUUUCAUGCUUCACUGUCUAGAUCUGUACUCCCAACAGGGUUAGGACAGGUUCACUGUCAUGCUUCACUGUCUAGAUCUGUACUCCCAACAGGGUUAGGACAGGUUCACUGUCAUGCUUCACUGUCUAGAUCUGUACUCCCAACAGGGUUAGGACAGGUUCACUGUCAUGCUUCACUGUCUAGAUCUGUACUCCCAACAGGGUUAGGACAGGUUCACCUUCAUGCUUCACUGUCUAGAUCUGUACUCCCAACAGGGUUAGGACAGGUUCACCUUCAUGCUUCCCUGUCUAGAUCUGUACUCCCAACAGGGUUAGGACAGGUUCACUGUCAUGCUUCACUGUCUAGAUCUGUACUCCCAACAGGGUUAGGACAGGUUCACUGACAUGCUUCACUGUCUAGAUCUGUACUCCCAACAGGGUUAGGACAGGUUCACCUUCAUGCUUCACUGUCUAGAUCUGUACUCCCAACAGGGUUAGGACAGGUUCACCAUCAUGCUUCACUGUCUAGAUCUGUACUCCCAACAGGGUUAGGACAGGUUCACCUUCAUGCUUCCCUGUCUAGAUCUGUACUCCCAACAGGGUUAGGACAGGUUCACCAUCAUGCUUCACUGUCUAGAUCUGUACUCCCAACAGGGUUAGGACACGUUCACUGACAUGCUUCACUGUCUAGAUCUGUACUCCCAACAGGGUUAGAACAGGUUCACUGUCAUGCUUCACUGUCUAGAUUUGUACCACAUACGCCUUUCCCUGCACAGACAUGUUCUAUUGGGGAUAAUACUGAUAUCAGUAUUCUCUGUUAACUCCAAACCGCAUAUGUCAAGAAUUAUUAAACAAACAAGCACUUUGUGACUUUGUGAAGAGUUUCAGUUUUUAACCACAGAGUUGCAUUCCGAAAUAAUUUGUACGGAAGCAAGUAUAGUUUCUGUGUUUAGACCAGCACUGCAACAAAAGAUGAGCUCCAAUAUAUUGUCACUUAUUUCCCUAUGCAUCCUGUUACUUCCUCAUCGGUCAUGUUUAUUCAUGUAUAUGGGGAUCAGCUGCUAUAGUUGGCAAACUAAAUCACAUUUUCUGUUCAGAGUUGAAAGGGGUGUACUUAAUGCAUCUGAAAGGACAGAUUUGGAUAACGAGGUAAAUAUUUUAUGCAUGUCAGUAGAAGGGAGCUAGUGUGCCGGCGAGCGGGCGUACGUGUUUUUAUUUAGCUCUCUCUGAGACGUGUUGGCACUUUCAGCACUGUAUUCCUGUCAUUGGUUUCCAUGGCAAUCCUUGGUUUGCCAGCACCAUGACCAGGUGCUGAACAUCUCUGGUUUGCAUCACUUGGACCUUCUGCUGACAUUAAACCUACAGUGAUAUUACAGUUCACUUUCUGUCAAACCGGUCUUCUCAAUAUAGGGUGUGAUUCAAAUGCAGCAAUAAAACAAGAAAAUGUUAAAACCUUUACAUUUCGGCCAAAUUUUCAUAUUGAUGGAACUCCAAUCAAUUUUACUACCUUCUCUGCUUAAAUAGGAUUUGAUCAUUACUCCCUGGUGCAACUGGAACUUUAACCCAUACUGACAAAGUUAACCUCUGUAAGGAUCGCUUCAAGCUCAAGCUGGCCUGCUGAACAGCCAGGGAUGUGUUUAACAUGGGCCUCAACUUCAGGACUAAUCUUAUAAGAACAUGGCCUCAUGUUUUGUGAGGCUCAUCACAAAAACAUUGUUUGCAUAUAGCAGUACUAGUAAAUAUAUUAUGUGUUGUCAAAAUAUAUUCCUGUCAGUAUUUAUCCUUACAGAAUUGAAUACACUGGAAAAUCCUGUAUCUGUUUGAAGUGACUGAAUAUUGUGACAUGUUGAACACAUCCCUGGUUGUCAUAUGGUCAGGGAUCCCUUACUGGCAGUCAUGUUAUCACAAGCUUAGAUUUCUGCAUUUAUUCGUAAUUUUUUUCUUCAUGGACAGUUGUUAUUUUAGCCACAUUGCUUUCUGAAGUCUUUCAAUCCAACAUGCAAUGUUGAUUUUAUGAACUUGUUGACAGUGCAGUGACCAUGAUAGUUCACUUCACUAGCUGUCCCUAUCUCCCCUGUGUAGAGGAAUAGCGACCUCGUCCUGUACAGGUAGUCUCACGAUUCUGUCAACAAAUAGCAGUUGUUGAGACAGUAGUAUUUUGCGUAGCUCUAUGUUCUGCAACAUGUUCUUGACACUGUUAGUGUGACCAUCAACCUGUGUUUGAAUAUCACAUCAUGGUCUGUGAAUAAAACUAUUACAAUCUC